rnacentral:rRNA from 1 species
AUUGAACGCUGGCGGCAUGCUUUACACAUGCAAGUCGAACGGUAACAGGCCGCAAGGUGCUGACGAGUGGCGAACGGGUGAGUAAUGCAUCGGAACGUGCCCAGUCGUGGGGGAUAACGCAGCGAAAGCUGCGCUAAUACCGCAUACGAUCUAUGGAUGAAGGCGGGGGACCGUAAGGCCUCGCGCGAUUUGAGCGGCCGAUGUCAGAUUAGGUAGUUGGUGGGGUAAAGGCUCACCAAGCCAACGAUCUGUAGCUGGUCUGAGAGGACGACCAGCCACACUGGGACUGAGACACGGCCCAGACUCCUACGGGAGGCAGCAGUGGGGAAUUUUGGACAAUGGGCGCAAGCCUGAUCCAGCAAUGCCGCGUGCAGGAAGAAGGCCUUCGGGUUGUAAACUGCUUUUGUACGGAACGAAACGGUCCUGGUUAAUACCUGGGGCUAAUGACGGUACCGUAAGAAUAAGCACCGGCUAACUACGUGCCAGCAGCCGCCGUAAAAC